AAAGGUCAGCGUUGUAAUUUCCGAACAUCAUCUUCGUCAACUGAAACCAACUUCCCCAGCUCAGGUCAUCAUCAUUCCAAACUUUUCUACUAAUUUUUCUGUCUAGCCCCCACAAUUGAUCUCAGAAUCUUUUUAUUAAUGCUCCCAUUCAAUGCCAGUUCAUUUACUUCUCAGAAACUUCCAAAAAUACUCGACCGCUGGAAAGAUUUUCCCCCACCAUUCCUCCUGGAUCAGCAACAUAGCUUUUACCUGCAGCAGUCUGAUUAUCAUCUCAUGAAGACCCCCAGAACCAUGCAACAAGUUCACCAAUCUCCCAAUCUCUCCAACCCCUUUGAAAAUCUUACUGAAGAAAUCAUAUUUAACGUUCUUGAUUUCCUCGAUGAGGACCCACAAGCCAAGAAAUCGUUCUCUCUUGUUAACAAAUCAUUCUACUCUAUUGAAUCCAUUCACAGAAGAUCUCUAAGACCUCUACGAACUAAUCUCAUUCCAAGUACACUCCGAAGAUAUCCUCAUCUAUCUCACCUUGACUUCACAUGCUGUCCUCGUGUCGAGGAUGAUACUCUUUUUGCUAUAGCUGAUGUAUAUAAGACUAGUUUGAGGGCCAUUGACCUUUCGAGGUCUAGGUUCUUUAGUAACGUUGGGUUGUCGAGUUUGGCUGGGAAAUGUACAGGUUUGUUGGAGAUGGAUUUGUCCAAUGCAACAGAGCUAACAGACUUGGCUGCUGCAGCUAUUGCUGAAGCUAAGAACCUGGAGAAGCUAUCAUUGGCUAGGUGCAAGUUAAUUUCAGAUAUCGGGAUUGGCUGUAUUGCUGUUGGUUGCAAAAAAUUGAAGUGGGUUUGCUUGAAAUGGUGCUUAAGAGUUAGUGAUUUCGGUGUUGGCUUGAUUGCUAUGAAGUGCAGAGAUAUUCGCUCUCUGGAUCUCUCUUACUUGCCUAUAACAGAAAAGUGCCUUCCACCCAUCCUGCAGCUUCAACAACUCAAGGAAUUAAUUCUUGUCGGAUGUUCUGGUGUUGAUGAUGAGGGUCUUGUCACCCUGAAUCAAGGAUACAAACCACUAGAGAUGCUUAAUAUGUCAAUCAUUCAAAAUGUCAGCCACAUUGGUCUAUAUUCUCUAACAAAUGGCAUGAAACACCUAAGCCAUCUCAGUCUAGCAUAUGGUUUUGAUGUUACAGUAGAUCUAGCAAAAUGCCUGCGCAAUUUUCCGGGCCUGCAGUGCAUUAAAUUAGAUGGCUGCCAAGUCUCAUGUGCUGGGAUGAAAGCAAUUGCAGAUUGUUGUGUAUCCUUAAAGGAGAUAAACUUAUGCAAGUGCAUAGGAGUGACAGAUGAGGGUCUCUCCUCCAUUAUGGAGAAGCACAAUGGAUUGAAAAAAUUGGACAUAACUUGUUGUAGAAAAAUAACUCAUGCCUCUUUAGACAUUAUAACAAGUUCAUGUAACUCCCUUAUUUCCCUCAAAAUGGAAUCUUGUAGCUUGAUUCCUGAAGAUGCUUUUGAAUUGAUUGGGCAACGUUGCUCUUUGCUGGAGGAGCUGGAUAUUACUGAUAAUGAAGUCAAUGAUGAAGGGUUGAAAGCAAUCUCAAGAUGUUCCAAACUUUUGAGCUUAAAAAUGGGAAUAUGCAGGAAAAUCACUGAUGGCGGACUUUCUCAUGUUGGAAUUUACUGUCCAAAACUGACACAACUUGAUUUGUACAGGUGCACAGCAGUUACCGAUGUAGGCAUUAUGGCAGUUGCAAAUGGUUGCCUUGGUUUGGAGAUGAUUAACAUGGCUUACUGUGAGAAAGUUACUGACAGUUCAUUGCGAUGUUUAUCAAAAUGUUUAAGAUUGACAGCGCUUGAAAUUCGAGGAUGUACUCGUCUAUCUUCAGGAGGAUUAUCAGCCAUUGCUGAAGGAUGUAGGAAACUGACCCUUCUUGACAUUAAGAAAUGCUGUAACAUUGAUGAUGCUGGAAUGCUUGCUCUUGCACAAUGUUCCCAAAGUCUCCAGCAGAUUAAUAUAUCAUAUUGUUCAGUUACAGAUAUUGGGCUAAUGGCACUGGCCAGCAUUAACCACUUGCACAGCAUGACUAUCUUGCAUGUAACUGGACUGACUGCCAGUGGGCUUGGUGCUGCUCUGUUAGCUUGUCAGGGACUGAGAAAAGUGAAGCUUCACUCAACCUUUAAAGCAUCAAUGCCUCAGGCUCUCCUGAAUCACGUAGAAGCUCGUGGCUGCAUCUUUCACUGGAGAAAUAAAGCAUUUCAGCAGGUGGAUAUAGAUCCGAAGGGAUGGCAGCUAUGAUUAUCAGUGAAGAAUUCAACAUUUUGCAUCGUGAAACGUUAAAUUGUUGCCGCUGAUAAGAUUGCAGCUGAAUCAAGGAGUCAAAACAAGAACAUUUUAUUCUGGUGAUGUGUUCAUUUACCUGAAUGUGCCGUGCCAGUGAUUGAUUGGCCAUAGAGCUUGUUUGCUGUCCAGGUUCCAAAAUGGGGAAAACACAAGAGUAUGUUCUGCAUCAGACUUGCAUCAUUUGAGUUGCUGCGAUGGGUCCAGUUCCAGAAAGAUGAUUUCAUACUACCAUCCAUAUUCUUGUUGCUACUGAUUCAGAUUAGUCGUUACUCUCUUGAGUCUUGAGCAAUUUAAUGCGGUGUCGAGAUUGAGUAACUUCUUGAUUUGAAAAUAGAACGUCCCUAUAGGCUUUGCCUAUAAUUCUAUAAUUUGACCUUAUUCAAUCUGCUCAAACAUUUGACCAUGACCAUAUUCUUUUUCUCCUCUCAGAAUAUCCUAGACCGAACGAGUGGAAGCAGAACUAUGGCAAAGAGUACUACCCAAAAGUCAAAUAUGUUCGGACUUUACUCGCACAUAAAUGCAUGCAUCUUGGUACCAUCUCACCAGAUUCAUGUAUAAUAAACCUGGAAGCCUUGUUGUGCCUGUGAGGGGCAGGAGUCUAGUCCGCCCGCGGAAGUGACUCCAAUAAAGAAUUGAUGAAUGGGGUUCAAAAAUAGACUUUGAUCGAUUUCCUUUGUUGAAAGGUAAACCUUAUCAAUUUCAGAUUGAAAAUUAUACUAACGUUAUCAUCUUCUCGAAGUAGCGGGAGGAGACUGCUGACUUACUUUUUCCAAAAGUCAGCUGGAAAUUUGUUUAUGUUCAGAUCUUGCGAAAAAUGAAAUUUUGACUGACCACCCUUUUAAAUUAUUCCUCUGACCACUCCAUUUGCGCCUGGAAUUUGUCAUUAAUAGUAUGUUGUUAUGUGAUUCGUUUGAUCACUAUCAAUUAGCAUCAAUCUUCCAGAAUCACAGGGGCGAUGCAUUUCAUUACCACACCCCAAGUCAAUGUUUUCAACGUCAAGCGUUUUCAUGGACACAUCAUCGUCUUCCACGAUGUGAUUCAAUGCAUGGGCAGGGUGAUCACUGAUUCAGGACAGAAGCUGCCCAGAAAAACCAAAAAAAAAAAAA